AUGGACCCCAGCCUUAUCUACUGGAUGGCCAUUUUCAUCCUGGGGGCAGGCCCUGUGGAUUCCGAUUCCAGAGUCACCCAGAGCCCGGGUCACCUGAUCAAACAACGAGGACAGCUGGUGACACUGAGCUGCUCCCCCAUCUCUGGGCACCUCUCUGUGUCCUGGUACCAGCAGACGCGGGGCCAGGGUCCCCAGUUCCUCGUUCAGUAUUAUAACGGUGAAGAGAGAGAGAAAGGUGACACCCGGGAUGGGUUCUCAGGCCAGCAGUUCCCCAACCACAGCUCCAAGGUGAACCUGAGCGCCCUGGACUCAGCCGUGUUCCUCUGUGCCAGCAGCUUGUCACAGCCCUGCAGCGCCACCACCACCCUGUGCACAAACCUCCCUGCUGGGCCCGCACCCACCUCAGAGCCACCUGAGCACCUGGGGUUGCAGCAGGAAAGGGGGUCACAGCCCUGGAAGUGCAGCCUGGGGCUUUGCUUCUGUGCAAGAGACAGGGACCACAGGGACAUGGGGUCUGUUCUCAGGACCCCACAGCCCCAGGCUCUCCCCAAGUCCCCAUUUGCCUGGCCUUGCGGGCACAAGGGUAGGGGGAAAGGUUGA